rnacentral:rRNA from 1 species
UACGUAGGGUGCGAGCGUUGUCCGGAAUUAUUGGGCGUAAAGGGCUCGUAGGCGGUUUGUCGCGUCGGGGGUGAAAACACUGGGCUUAACCGAGUGCUUGCUUUCGAUACGGGCAGACUUGAGGCAUUGAGGGGAGAACGGAAUUCCUGGUGUAGCGGUGAAAUGCGCAGAUAUCAGGAAGAACACCGGUGGCGAAGGCAGUUCUCUGGCAAUGUACUGACGCUGAGGAGCGAAAGUGUGGGGAUCGAACAGG